CUCUCUCAGCAGGGCUUAUCAACACAGUUCUCAUCUUUUGCUUAAUGCAGCUACCUAAUUUCCAGACCAGUCUGGCUUGCAUCCAAUCAGCUCAGACCACAAGCAACUGCAUGCAUUUCUCUGCACAGACAUAUUAUCCUCUCCUGCAUUUUUGAGCCUGGAGCUCUGGCUUUUUACCAUGCUGUGAUGUGGGAAGCUCAAGAGCAAGGAAACUGAAAAACCUGAUUUCCUGAGAUGUUUGGAUGGCUGAGAAGCCCCAGUCUUGGACGUCCUGUACAAACCUUCACCAUUGCCUCUCCAGUGACAACUCGUCUCCGUGAGCCCCAGGCCACACUAUAUGGGAUACCUGGAAGACAGAAAUUUGCAAGGAAGGAGAAGAUUCUAUUUCCUGAGAGUUUGGAAACACUUCUAGAUAAGUACAGAUCUAAAGAAAAGU
rnacentral:lncRNA from 1 species